CCCCGCCACCUCCCUCAGCGCGGCGGGACGGGCAGCGGCGCCGCGGCGGGAGGGCCGAGGUCCGAGCCGCCCGCCCCGGGCAGCGCCGUGAGGGGCCGCCCCGUAGCCGUGCCCUGCCGUUACCUGGGAGAGACGGGGAAAGACCCUCGGAAUCUGAACCUUGAGAAAUUGUGAUGGAGUGGCAACACAGAAGGAUUUAGUCAACAUCUUUCACACAAGCUAUUUUUACCCUGGAUGUGUUCUGCGAUUUGUUUCCCACACAGCAUUGAAACUGGCACAGCUGAGGGAAAGAAAACAGUGCAACUCUUGCCUUGCAUUUGGAGCUGAAGCAUUAUCAAGGACAGAAAAGAAGAUGCAUCUCUUUUUUUUUUAAUCUUCUGCAGGUACAAGCAGAGUUUUUCUGGUGUAAAUGGAGAGGCACAGGGCUCUGUGGGAGUGAUGCACUUCUAGGAAUUUAUUUCACCUGGCUGUGAGUGGCUCAGCAAAAUAAGAUGGGAAGAAAGAAACAGGCCCAAACCUUCAAAUAACUGUGGAAGACUGAAAGAACCCAGUGAAUGAGUCCUCACAGGAGAAUGGAAACCUUUCCGAGGGAGCUGAUAUACCUACCGCCAGUGCUAAGCAUUUUGUGUUUUGUUUUUUAAAGAAAAGCCAAGUUACACUAGGACGUAUCACCUGCCCAAUUUUAAGUUGAAGCAAAUAAAUAGUCUCAGGUUUUGCCUUCAAUUUCCUGUCCAGUGCCAGUUUUUCUGGGCCCAGCGUGGGUCUUCUGUGAAAUGCUCUGACAAUUUUGGGGCCGGGAAGGCAGCUCCCCGGCCCUGUUGCCUCCACGGCGGCUGAUGAAACACAGAAGAGCUCCCGGCAGCCAUCGAGCCCGCAUCCCGACAGAUUGCCUCUCCUUUUUUGCCCUCGCCGGCUGCUCUCAGCGCAGGGUUGCCUGCAAGGAUACUUGUUCAGUGUCGCCUUUCAGGGAGGGAGUGUGUCCAGUUCCCUUUUAGAAAAGGCAAUUUUUCAAAUUGUCCUUGUUUGAAAGAAAAUACUGUGUUCGGCAGCAGUGAAAACAGAGGGCUAAGCGCUUUCUGGCGCGUGCUGCGCUGAUGUGAUGAGGCUGGGCCUUGAGCCCACCAAGUUUUGCUCAUUUCUGUACCACGUAGCGGUAAUUCAGCAUGUACGGUAUUUUUACUUUACCCUAGAGCUUCCUCCCAGGACCCUGCCAGUAAUUUGAUCCUGCUUUGAUAAAUCAUCACGGAGACACAACAUGGAACUGUAGCCCUAAUGACCUGUGUUAAUUAAAAAUCAAAUGACACUUUCUCAGGAGAAAGUUAUUUAGUUCCAGUGUUUUCCUAAGAUAAUUAUACCAAGCCAGCCUGUUACCCUCCCCUGUAGCUUCAUUUAUUGUUCACUAUGUCUAAACUCCCGCAUGCCGUUGCACGGCCUUAUUUUGUCAUCUUCCACCCCAUCAUUUCAAAAUAAGUUUCCUAUCUGUUUAUAAGUACAGCAAAAGCUUUAAAGUCUUGAGGAGAGAGAUGCCGUAUCUUUGCUGUGACGCUGUACCGUCUGCCGGUUCAGUUUCAGUGCCUCGUAGCACCAGGUUGAGAAACUCUUUGCCUGUUCAUCUCCCCUGGCUUCUAAAAUAGCAAGAGAUAAACAGGAAAAAGGGGAGACACCUUCUGUUUGAUAUUGUUUGCCUCUCAAGUCAGUUCAGGCUCUGAUAUUAAUAACUUCCUGUUUUGUUGUAAGUCUUCUGACAAGUGAAGAGCCUCCACGUGCGCUGGCAUUUCAGCCUGAACUUGGGCAACUACACAACUAGUGUGUUCCCAGGCUCUGGGCUACAAAUUCCGGUUUUCUGCUUACCUUCAGGCUAAAAUUUCAGAAUUGGAAGUCAAAUCGCUGAAAGUCAGGUGCCUAAACCCACAGUUAGUUGCCAAAAUAAGAAUGACCUGACUGUCACAACAGUUGAACACCUGCAGCCCCUGUAGGUAUCUUGGGACUUGAGAGGGUAGAAUCUAUACAAAUCAGACUAAAUUUGUGUAGGAGCUGAAAUAAGGAUCCUACUUUGAAACUCCGGAGUGCUGUUCAUUGCUAAGGAUGUCCUCGGAAGCUAGAAACAGGAAAGAGGAUCUGCAGAAAUGUGGAGAAAGGUGCAUUUGUGUAAUAUCACUUGUGCAAGAUGCUUAUGAAACGCGGUGCGUGUUGCAUUGCAUCGUUUCUCACAUACGCUUCAAUUAGUAAGGCUCUUUCUUUUCCAGCUACCCAGACAACUUUCCCUGUGAACUGAACUAAUUCCUCUGGAUAAUAUGCUGUUUUGCUGCCUGCUGGAGAGGUGGAGCCCACCCAAUCGCCUCACGCCGGUGUACUGCCCGUGGCUGCUGCUCUGUGCAACCGGGAACCGUCUCCCGAUCCUGCUGCGCAACAGGACAGCUCGGACUUAGCAGUUCUAGGAGAUUUAAAAAAUCAAACCAGCUAAUCAAGAUUUAAAGCAGCGCUGGGUUGAAAAGACUAGCAAGCGGUCCAGCUGUGAGUUAAUUCAUUAGUUGCAGUAAAUAUCGCUAGAAGAGCUUGUCAAAAGGAAAUGUAAAGCAGAUGAAAAGAAACGUCCUUAAAGUGAGUGUCAAAGGCUUUUGCAGCAGUCAUCCAGGGGACUGGGAGACUCCGGGCUUUGGAGAGAAAAGCAGGGUGAAAGAAAUAAAAAUUUCAGUACGGAGGAUAAAGUACCAGUUCCCACUGAGCGAUUAUAAAGGACACAAUCUUACCACUGCAGGGACCUAAUUAGAGAGUGAAUCUCAAAACAGUCCAAUAUCUCCUCCAGGACACUGAGAGACCCAAACGAGCUAAAGCAGUCCGUUCAGACCAGCAGCAUUAGGAGGCUCUGCUGCUUCAGGGGCACGCUGAAAUGCCAGGUUUAUCUAGCUGUAGUAAUUUCCAGUGUUCUUGAACCCUGUAGUCUCUUCAGCACUCACUUAGGACCAGCUUCAUUUUCUUGCCUGGCCAGCACAGCGUCAGCCUGGUCCUACAGAAGGCAGCAGCGGGCUCCCACUGCGGUGGGAGGAAAGGCACCAGCGCCCGUUUCCCCAGGCAAACAUAAAGUUAAUUGUCAACAUUAACAAGAGAGAAUUUCACAUUUCUAUGACUGAUCUGCUAAUUCACUGCUUUCCCUGGUCUCCAAAACAUCUCGUGCAGACCAGGUGGGAGUCCCCAGGCCUUCCUGGAGACUGCUGCCAGGCAGCGGGUGUGUGCAUUCGUUCGCUUAAGCCUUGGGGCAGGGCUCAUCUCUCUUGCUAUUGUCUGUCUGGGACACUGUCACCCUUCUCUCCCUCCUUUUGGAAAUGUGGAAGCACUGGCCGUAGCUUGAGGCUAACCUUUGGCAGCAAUGCCCAUCCCUGCUCCAGCUGCAGUGCGUCACCUCCUCAUCGGUGUGCCAAGCAGGGAACUCCCCAAGAGGUUUUUUGAUUUUUUUUGGUGUUUUUUCUAAGCAGCAAGGCAUUUUUGCUGGAUUUUAUUUAAGACUAGUCAGUUCGGGGCCCUGGUCCUCAGCACUCCCCUCCUGGUGCUGGAAGGGCUGCGUCAGCAGGAGCCAUGCUCUGGGGUGAGUGAGCAGCGGGGUCAGCAGGAAGGAAUUAUUUUAGCUGGUAUUGCCUUUAAAGGCACUUUGUAUGUAACCCUGUCCCUGCAGAGUCAUUCUGUGCAGGGUGGGCUUCAGGGGAGCACAGGGAUCUCUUCCAGUGUCGCUACUACCAGCAGACACGUUUUUCCGUAGCAGGAUUUUCCAGGCAUAGGGAGGGCUGUGCCUUCUGAGACCGCUCGGGGAGCUCAGCGCUCCUGGGAAGAGCAGGGAUGACUGCUCGGGAUGGGUAGAUGCAUCUUGUACUUGGAGGGGGGCGGGUGGUGGUUUAUGAAUCUCCUCUGUAGCGGGGAGGAGGUAAGUGACCUGCCCAGAGAGAGCUCAGCACUGCUAACAUCCGACAAGGACAUUUUCGUAACCGAGAUAAAUAAACAGAUGCCUUUUUUGCUCCAGGGAGAUAAUUUCUUCUGUGCUACUAGGCUGAGACCGUUUGCUUGGCUUAACCUGUGUUUUUACCGUAUGCAACAAGCCUUAACCACUUCAUUUGGGGCUGUUUUUCAUUUGGGGCCAAUAUGAAACAAUUCUGGCAUUUCUUUUCUAUUUUUCUGGCCCUUACACGUUUCUAAUGUCUCCACUUCUGUAUAUAUGUUUUCUUCUCUAACAUUUCAGUUCUCCUCUCUUGUAAUAUUUUAAAUCCUUAAUUGCCUGAUGCUGCAGAUGGAGAGUGUUAGUUACUUUCCGUCACCACUCUGGCCACGACGACUUCUUUUGCUUGACAAGUUGAUCACCUUGUCAAGGUGAAUGUUAAGUCUGUCUGGAGUAUCUCCGUGCGUUUUGUGCCAGAUUGCAAUUGCAAGCUGGCUUCUUAUCAGACAUGCUGUUUCUCCAGACACAGAAUACCGGGAGUAAAACUGGGAUUUUGAGGGGCUUUUUUUCCCCUACUUCGCUAAUGAGAUUGACGUUGCUCCAGUUUAUACCAGUAGGAUUUAGAUGGGUGUAUCUCUAAAUGUGACAAAGUAAUGCAUGGCAAGCAAACCCAACUGAUAAAGAUAAAACAAAUCGAUUGGUAACGAAAAUUCCCAUCCAUGGCAACCACCUAGGAAAGCCCGCAAGUAGUGGUUCGGAGUUAAUAACAAGUGCACCAAGCCUGCCAAAGCUGCUGGAGAUGUGACUAACAGGCAUCUCCAUGGAGCCAAAGAAUUGCGGCGGUGCCUGUUCCCUGCUGCAUCAGCACGUCCAAAAGGGCAUCGUCCUGGUGAGCGGUGGGGCUGACAGGCUCCCCCGAAGUGCCAGUUACGGGCAGUGGGGACCAGAAAAAGGAGCCUUUGCGAAGGCAUUGCAAAAAUGGCUUAACGCUAGGUAGGCUCAUCGAGGUGCGAAAGAAACUUCCUCUCCGUUGCACAGCAGGGUGUCGCUGGGGUUGGUGUCUCAGAUCUUGCCACCAGCACGUGAGCCCAUAGCUCCCCUUCACAGACCCAGUGCACAGUGCGGGACCCAGUUAUGUCUCCACUUGCCACAGUGGCUGUACACAGCACCAAACCUUGCCUUCUUUUGCCAUGCACAUGCCGCCCGGGCCUCCAGAGACCUUCAAAUGGUCACAUUCUGCAUGACCCCUAAAAGAGGGUAGACAGCAGUUGCAGCGCGGAAGCUGUAGCAUCAAUGGUGCUUUCAGAUUGCCCGGCAGACAUAAUUGAGGCAAAACAGCAAAACCCAAGUAAAUGAAAUGCAUUUCAUAGCAGUUCCUGAAGAACAGGUCGCGUUGUUUGUGACCUGCCAGCCAGGUCAAGAGGGCUGGAUCUUCCACAGAGAAAUUGCUGACAUUGGCCCCAAAAUGUCAUUGUUAAGGUAAGAAAAACAUCCAAAUCUCUCUUUUCCUAGUUGAUACAUUAUAAGGAAGUGGCAUCCAGACCACUAUAGGUAUUAAGAACUUGGGAAACAACACUAAGCAAUACAAAGAACAAAAAUCAGUGGGUGUUUUCUGAGAAGAUAAGGAAACGGAGUCUGAUGCUACUGAAUGCUUCAGGAGAAUAAGUCCUAAUAGCUGCAGUAGCCAAACAUCACCUGGGACCAGAGUGUGAACAACUUUUUUGUGAUAUUACAUAGCAAAUGUCUCAACUUCUUGAGCUCAUUGCAGAACAUAAAAGUAAAGGUUGGCCAGCAUUAUUAUCUGGUGGUACAGGAACACUCAUUUCUCUAACCAUGUGUGGUGGUAUCUGACUAUCUUGGAUAUCUGAGCAGGCAGGUCAAAGGAAAGCAGUGUGUAGACUUGGUUCUCAAAGACACCUAUUUCCAGUAAGCAUGAACUUCAUUUUCUCCUAGGAAUUCAUUUUUCCUGUCGUAUUCUAACAGAAGUAAUAAAAUAAACAAAGCAUGGUGCACUUGUAAGAUGAACCUCAGGACCAUGCCUCUACAGCCAAACCAGCUCUGGAUGCAGUGUGAGCACUGAGGGCAGAUGUUGGGCCACCCUUCUCCCUGGCAGAUGUGGUCCUGGGGUUCUUCUCCUCACAGGAUCCCAUAGUGAGACCUUCGUGAAGAGCAGAGACAGAGCUUUUCUUGUGUCAUACUCUACAUAAUGAGGCAAAGAUGUGUUGGGGUGUUCUAUGUAUUGACCUACCUCAGAUCAGCUUCAUGCAACAAUGGAAGAGUAGCAUGCAACCACCUUCUUUUUUUUUUUAUUUUUUUCCACCCAGUGUUUGUGGCAAGGACAAAAAGACCCUUUUACUGUCUGAGUUUCUGACAUUCCUGCUCCCCCUGGGUAGAAAGGAAUCAUAGGGACCUCUUCUCUCUCUCCGCCUAUGAGGCAAGCACUGACUAUUGGUGUGUGUGAUGGGCAAGAAGCUCUCUCUGGACAGACCUUGUUCUCCCCAGGGACCUGCACCCCACCACUCCCUGCUCUGGGGUGGUGUGUUGGGACUCCCUGGCCUGUCCCUUCCUGGGCUACCCCUCUCCUGUGGCUCCGAGCCCUGCCACUUUCUGUGUUUGGAAAGGCAGAGGUGGGGGGGCAAUCUCCCAGGGGUUCCGGAGGAGUGGAGUGUCUCUGUCAGGGGUAUCUCCUUACAGGAGAUGAAGAAGGUGUUUCCGCUGUGGGGGCUGGAGGCAGGAGCAGUCACACGCUUCCCGCUGCAGCCGGCAGCACUCUGCUUUUUCCCAUCAUUUAUUACCUGACAACUGUUUUGGUGUGUUUCCUUCCAGGCCAGGAGGGCUGGCACAUGGGACACCUCCUCCUGGUGCACUGCCAAGGACGGCAGCAGUGUCCUCCUACCAAGGGUGGUGGCCCCCGGCCCUGGGCACGCAGCAUCCAUCCCCACUGCUCACCCGACCCUCCCCUCAAGACCUACUUUUGCUGGGAGAGGCAAGGUAACCUCGCCACUGAAAAUAGCUGGGACGGCAGCCAACGGAGAUUAAUGGCAUCAUUAACGUCCCCAGUUUAUUUAUAGGCUUAAAAAUGCCUUGGACCUGCAAACUGAGCAGAGUCGCUGUGUGUAACGCAGGGACUCCCAGGUCUCCUGCUUCUGCCUUUCCCCUUCCUGCUAUUUCAUCCUGAUCGCUGGGACUGUAAACCUAUUUUGUAAAACUUCCUAACCAGGGGCAUACACACAGAUAUUUUUUUUCCCCAUGAAUGCUGUAUUUGUCUUGUCUCCUUCCUCCGCCCAACUCUUUCUGUGCUCACUGUGUCCUGUGGUCCCUCUUUGGGAAAAUUCUCUUUUUGAUGAAUUACUUGAGGCACAGGCUGAGCAGUCGUCACAGGAAUUAGUGAUUUUCCGCCUUGGGUUUUAAACUGUGAGCUCUGUGGGAGGAGGAGGACUGGGAAUCUCAUAGCUGUGGAGAGCACCUAGGACAUGUGGGGCCCCAGCGAGACAUGCAGAUGUUGUUAAUGACCAUGGAGGCCUUCCUACGGGAGCCAGCAGAGCCGGCCCAGCUCCCAGGUCCUCCAGGAACCUCGUGGGACCGUCAAGAAAAGAAAAAAACCACCCCGAGUGUGUUGGCCCCAGAAGAGGAGUUUUCAGCACGUGACCUGCGGCCGCGCUGCCUGGCCCGUUUCCCAGCGCUCGGUGAAAGGUAAGUGAGAAAGGAAGCUUGUUGUCAGCAGGCACAAGUCCAAGGGAUCGGCUGUGUGACCUGGAGAUGGCUCCAUGGGUGGGAGAAAAAAAGUGAAAAUGCCAAUCGGGACCCCUCCCACCCAGGAACAGGGAUAACCAGGGCGGCACCUCAUGGAGGUGAGGUUGCUUCAGAGGGCGACCACCCUUCACUUUGCUGUUGGUUUUUUGUUGUAUCAGGCUGAGCUAUACUCCCGUGUCGAUCUCUCCUUGGCCGUCUGUCUUCUAGGGGUUGAAAUAAAGGACUGUCA